GACUACGGCCAUAUCACGAUGAAUGCACCUCAUCCCGUCUGAUUUGAGAAGUUAAGCAUCGUCGAGCCACAUCAGUACUGAGGUUGGAGACAACUUGGGAACCUGUGGUGCUGUAGUCU
rfam:Naegleria gruberi genomic scaffold NAEGRscaffold_9, whole genome shotgun sequence.